AGAUCUUGAUUUGGUAUGUGAUUGCAAUGUUCCGUUUUGGUCAUGGGUAAAAUCACAAUCGUUUCAUGAAGACUUUGUCACCUGUUUGGAUCGGGGAAAUGUGAAACUGUCAAGUCUUCAAGAAAGUGAUUUCGAUAACUGUACCUGUAAGUAUUUUGAUGAUAAAAAAGAGCUCUCGGGAGGGAAAGGCAAUAUAAAAAUGAAAAAUUAUCGCUUAUAUGGAACAACAUGUGUCAGCUAAACCUUUUGAAAACAGUUAUUUGACAUAAUUGCAGAAGACGUUAGAAAGAAAAAAAUGUAGAUGUGGUCAUAAAAAAAACAAAGAAGCAAACUAUUUAUAUCAUAUGAGCAGAAUGUGACCGUUUACAAUUAUACUGAUGCGUGUAUCAUGAAAUAAAUUUCACUGAUAACACUUGCAUGAAUAAAUAUACACGUCGAGAGAGAGAAAGCUAAUUUUCAAUUAUUUAUCUUAUUUUCACAUCUCUUGAGCAGUGGUGGAAAUAUUUUUCACCACUAAUGUAUUAUCGGUUCUCAUCAAAUGACUGGUCGAAAUUUCAUUAUGACGAUAAAAUUUCUGGACUUUUUCUUAAUUUUUCCUAUUGUGAUGUCCUAAAAAUAGGCGAAAUGCCUUAUGACGUCACAUAUAAAGAACACAGCUGUCUGCAAAUCUUUGAAAAAGGUAGAAUAAAAAUCGUCUAUUCCUACACUCUCAACAGUUAAAUUUCAAUUAUUUAGAAAGCUCGACAAGCCUCCCGCUUUAAUAAUUAGAAUUUAGUUGCCUCGACUGGAAAAAUAUCUCAUACACGUGUAGCAGUGAUGGAAUCUAUAUUGGCAUAUACAAAUUAAACAAAUGGAGGCUGACAAGUAUUUUUUUACAUUCGUAAAGAUGAUCGUUAUAUUUGUUAGAUAAACGUUAAGAUGACUCGUAAUUUGUGCAAACAAGAAAUUAAACAUUCAAACUAGUCUUAGAUACACAAAAAUAACACAAAGGAAACACAGAAGAGCUAUGAAUGCAGUGAUAGGCUUAGGAAAUGUAUAUUCAUUAGAAAUGCUAACAAAAACUGUGUUUUUGUAAAUAAAUACAAUCUAAAUCAUUCGCGUGAAACAAAACUUGUCAAGAUAAUCCCGCAAUACUCUUUCAUCAGUACAAUUAGCAGCAUUAUCAAAGGUGUAACUGGGUUUUUGUCAAUCCAAUAAAGAAUUAAGGUAUCCAUAUCUUCCUUUUCCUGUAUCUGUUUCGUGAUGCCUAGCUGACUGAUGUCUAUUCAAUUUUCGUUUUUUAAUGUGAUUGACUAAAAUAAAAUUUGAAGAGAAAACGCGUUGUCACUUUAAAAGUAAAACUAUCGGGUCAAGUGAUAAAUUCUAACAACACAAAAGAAAACAAAUAAAAAGCACGACACUGGGUUUAUUUCUUUUAAAUGAAAGUGAUCGGAAUAUGAUUGACAACAUUACGUUAAGAACGCGCAACUUAUAUGUAAUAUAAUGUAUUUAUUUAUUUAUAUUAUUCUUUUAUUCAUGCCAUACUUACACAAAAACAUUAGAAUUUCACAAAUUCAAAUUGUUCUUUUUAAUACUAAUUACAGACGACUCAUGUUAUCCUGACUAUUGUUCAAAUGGAGGAUCUUGUAGUCAAAACAGCUAUGGAGAUUUAGUAUGCUCGUGUGUCGGUGGAUUGACUGGUACUACCUGUACAG
rnacentral:lncRNA from 1 species